AUGAACGCUGGCUACAGGCUUAACACAUGCAAGUCGAGGGGAAACGGCAUUGAGUGCUUGCACUGAAUGGACGUCGACCGGCGCACGGGUGAGUAACGCGUAUCCAACCUUCCCGUUACUGCGGGAUAACCUGCCGAAAGGCAGACUAAUACCGCAUGUUCUUCGAUGACGGCAUCAGAUUCGAAGCAAAGAUCCGUCGGUAACGGAGGGGGAUGCGUCUGAUUAGCUAGUUGGCGGGGCGACGGCCCACCAAGGCGACGAUCAGUAGGGGUUCUGAGAGGAAGGUCCCCGACAUUGGAACUGAGACACGGUCCAAACUCCUACGGGAGGCAGCAGUGAGGAAUAGUGGUCAAUGGGCGGAAGCCUGAACCAGCCAAGUAGCGUGCAGGAUGACGGCCCUACGGGUUGUAAACUGCUUUUAUGCGGGGAUAAAGUGAGGGACGCGUCCCUUUUUGCAGGUACCGCAUGAAUAAGGACCGGCUAAUUCCGUG
rnacentral:rRNA from 1 species